CACCGGCAGCUCAAGUGGUAGCCAUUUUUAUUGGGCCUAAAGCGUUCGUAGCCGGUUUGAUAAGUCUCUGGUGAAAUCCCACAGCUUAACUGUGGGAAUUGCUGGAGAUACUAUUAGACUUGAGGUCGGGAGAGGUUAGCGGUACUCCCAGGGUAGGGGUGAAAUCCGUAGAUAUUCGAAGGAACACCGGUGGCGAAGGCGGCUAACUGGAACGAACCUGACGGUGAGGGACGAAAGCCAGGGGC
rnacentral:rRNA from 1 species